GCGAGCGUGGUGGAACUGGCAGACACGCUAGAUUUAGGAUCUAGUGCCGAAAGGCGUGGGGGUUCGAUUCCCUUCGCUCGCA
rfam:Spirochaetes bacterium RBG_13_51_14 RBG_13_scaffold_313, whole genome shotgun sequence.